GCACUUCUGAGGUGUCCCACAAUAGGACGAUACGGCCGUCUAGUGC
rfam:Schistosoma rodhaini strain Burundi genome assembly, scaffold: SROB_scaffold0000245